rnacentral:rRNA from 1 species
CACGUAGGGUGCGAGCGUUGUCCGGAAUUAUUGGGCGUAAAGAGCUCGUAGGCGGUGUGUCGCGUCGGCCGUGAAAACCUGCAGCUUAACUGUGGGCUUGCGGUCGAUACGGGCAUCACUGGAGUUCGGCAGGGGAGACUGGAAUUCCUGGUGUAGCGGUGAAAUGCGCAGAUAUCAGGAGGAACACCGGUGGCGAAGGCGGGUCUCUGGGCCGUUGCUGACGCUGAGGCGCGACAGCGUGGGGAGCAAACAGG